rnacentral:rRNA from 1 species
UACAGAGGGUGCAAGCGUUGUUCGGAAUUACUGGGCGUAAAGGGCUCGUAGGCGGCCAACUAAGUCGGAUGUGAAAUCCCCAGGCUCAACUUGGGAACUGCAUCCGAUACUGGAUGGCUUGAAUUCGGGAGAGGGAUGCAGAAUUCCUGGUGUAGCGGUGGAAUGCGCAGAGUAUCAGGAGGAACACCAACGGCGAAGGCAGCUCGCUGGGACGGUACUGACGCUGAGGCGCGAAAGCUGGGGAGCAAACAGG